AACAAACGCUGGCGGCGUGCCUAAUACAUGUAAGUCGAACGGGUAGCAAUACCAGUGGCGCACGGGUGAGGAAUACAUAGAUAAUCUGCCUUCGAGUCGGGGAUAACCAGUCGAAAGAUUGGCUAAUACCGGAUAAGACCACAAGAUCUGCGGAUCAAGGGGUUAAAGGUUUUUCGCUUGAAGAUGAGUCUAUGCGAGAUUAGCUAGUUGGUGAGGUAAUGGCUCACCAAGGCGACGAUCUCUAACUGGUCUUAGAGGAUGAUCAGUCACACUGGAACUGAGACACGGUCCAGGCUCCUACGGGAGGCAGCAGUAGGGAAUAUUGCGCAAUGGGGGAAACCCUGACGCAGCGACGCCGCGUGAGUGAUGAAGGCCUUCGGGUCGUAAAGCUCUGUCGUAUGGGAAUAACACAAUGAAUGUACCAUGCAAGAAAGGAUCGGCUAACUUCGUGCCAGCCGCCGCAGUAA
rnacentral:rRNA from 1 species